rnacentral:misc_RNA from 1 species
GAUGAAGAACGUAGCGAAAUGCGAUAAGUAAUGUGAAUUGCAGAAUUCAGUGAAUCAUCGAAUCUUUGAACGCACCUUGCACCCUUUGGCUAUUCCGAAGGGUAUGCCUGUUUGAGUAUCAUGAACACCUCAACUCUCAUGGUUUGCCAUGAUGAGCUUGGACUUUGGGGGUCUUGCUGGCCUGUGGUCAGCUCCUCUCAAAUGGAUUAGCUUGCCAGUGUUUGGUGGCAUCACAGGUGUGAUAACUAUCUACGCUUGUGGUUUUCCACCAGGUAACCUUCAGCAAUGGGGGUUCGCUGGGGCUCAUAAAUGUCUCUCCUCAGUGAGGACAGCUCUUUGAACGUUUGAUCUCAAAUCAGGUAGGACUACCCGCUGAACUUAAGCAUAUCAAUAACGGAGGA